rnacentral:lncRNA from 1 species
ACAAAUACUUUUGUCAUUCAAAUCAUUAAAUGACAUAGCUCUACUACUAUAGUUCCACUGUGCUGAAAGGAGAAGGAUGUUAGAAGAUGCAUUUGUUAUGUGGAAAGGGAGGAAUCAUGGCUGUAUGUCCAACUUUUGUAGUAAGAAUAGGUAGGCUAGAUAGGCCCAAGAGAAAGAAAACACAUCAUACGAAAGUAAGGAUGAAAUAAGGUUGGCGUUAGGAUAUAGACUGCGAAGACUCCAAAGCUCUCAGACGCAGCCAGCUCAGGUCAGAACACUCCUGGGAGAGUAAGUGAAUGAGUCUAUCCAUAAUGUGAAGCUGUGAGAGUUUCCAGGUGAUCUUCUUACUAUGAAAAUGGUUUCUAAGACUGAGCAGAAUAGGACUGAUUGAGACAAAAAUCAGCCAUCUGUCUGAAUAGAGAUUCUAAAAUUUUAGAUGUAACUUCAAUUUCAUUAUAGCUCAUAAGAGAAAAGCUAAAACAGUACCAUAGUGAACACAGACAGAAUGGAAUGAUGUAUCCCAAUUUUGAAAACCAAUUAGUGAAAAAAAUGUGACUUGCUUAAAAUAAGUAAGUUUAGGAAAUAAAAGCAAAACCAGAUCAGAUACAAGUUUAGAACAUCUCUGUACACCUGAUAAGUAGAUAGACUCAUUAAACUAGUGCAGAUGUGCUAUUUCUCAUAGUUACAGGGAUCAGCUUGUACUCUGGGAGAUGAUAGUCAGUGCUCACAUUCCUUGGAAUUUCAUAUUAGUAUUAGGGCUUUUAUUAGUUUCAAUCUUCUUGGAAUAAUUUAUGGCUACAGGGAGUGAGAGUACUCAAUGUGUAGGAACCACUUAUACAUAAGGUUGACCAGACUGGGCCCACUGAUUGAAUUAACUAUCUUGUUAUUGGAGAACUAAUUAAAAUAAAUGUUAUUAAAUAUUUUGCCAAAUAGGUUAAGAUAUUCAGCAGUCAAGAGAGAUUUCCUGUAGUACCAAUGACUUGUGCCUGUGUUUAUGAUACCAGAAAAGGUAUGGAGGAAUAUUAAAAUACAUAUUUGGCUGUUCAGGCUUCCAAGAGACAGAAUAUCUGUAGGCCCCAGUCAAACUGAAAACAUAUAGGUUAUUGCUGUAGAUUUACUAUUGUCCCCCAUUAUUCACUUCAUAAAGCAUGUUAUAUCCCAUCCCAUUGCCAUAUGACUUGCCAAAUGUCUUCCCUGUAGGGAGAAUGCAGGUUCUGAACAAACUGACAUUAGUACUGGCUGCGUGAAUUGAUUUGGACACUGGGAUAUGAGUGAACAUGAAUGACGCUCCUUACAAAUUAAAUACCCAAGACCAUUUUCCUUUGCCAUGAGAACGACAUGUUCCAAACAGAAGUUGCUCCUUCAGCUCAGAAUUGAAAAUGAAGCAGACGCACAAGAGCCAAGCCCGCAGGUGCCGGUUCUAUAAUGUGGAUGAGAAAUAAUGAUAUAUUGUGGUAAGGCUCAAUGUGAAAUGCAAAUAAGCCAGUGAAAAUUUAGGACUUUUUUUUUUUUAACUAGAGGAAAGCUAACCAAUCCAAGUAACCUUGAAAUAAGUGGUGGAUACAAGUAGGUUAAUUGCAGUUUAAAGGAAAUAAGGUAAAUACAUCUUCUUUUUAAACACUUUAUUAAUGUAAUAUCACAAAAGUAAAAUCUAAUGAUGCAUAGAGGCUUAUGAAUGAUUACAGUGAGCCUAAAAUCUUACCAAGUCUAUUAGCUUUUAAUGGAAUAACAGAAAUACCCACAAAUGUGGAUCUUAGCCAGUGUUAUUACCUCAAAUUAAAAACUGUUUCUAUUCUAUACCACUGAAGGAAAGAUGUCAGUGCAAAGUUAUAUCACACUGAAAGCAGGCAGAGGACAGAAAGAGUUCCAUCUGAGAACUUAUCUAUGGAGUUCCCGGCAUGGCUCAGUGGUUAGUGAACCCAACUAGCAUCCAUGAGGAUGCGGAUUUGAUCCCUGGCCUUGCUGAGUGGGUCAAGGGUCUGGCGUUGCUGUGAGUGUGGUGUAGGUCACAGACAUGGGUUGGAUCUGGCAUUGGUGUGGUUCUGGCAUAGGCCAGCAGCUACAGCUCCGAUUGGACCCCUCGCCUGUGAACCUCCAUAUGCCACGGGUGCGGCCAUCAAAAGACAAAAAAAAAGAAAGGAAGAAAACUUAUUUUCUAAUUAUAUGAACAUUUUUAAGAACAGAGCUACAUUUGUUAAUUGAAAGUCUUGAUGACCUCUUGUUAAUAUUUGUUAGCCAGCCAUCACAAGGAUAUUAGAAAAUACCUAUCCAUAUGUUGGAGGCACUUAAGGAAAAUAAUUUCUAAUUCAACUUGGAGGAACACAUCUUUCUCAAUGGAAAAAUAAGCAGGACUUCAGAGGUACAGGGUACUAAGUUCAGAUUAUUCUCAGUAAAAAUUAGCCAUAGAGAAAAGCAUCAGCUAAUAUGGACAUUAAUGAAAGGGAUGAUAGCUGCACUUUUGCCUGGCCUCAUUAACAUCUGAUGAAAUUUUUAACCUUCAAGCAAUAAUAGCUGCCAAUAUUAUGACCAUUGUAAUUAACUGCAUGAGACAGAAGACAUGUGAAGUAAAUGACUACUGAGGGCCUUGCAUUUGUGAGGAUGAAGUAUCUAUGCUAAAAGAUGCAUUGCUUGUUUCAGGGGAGUUCUAUAACCUAGAAUUUUGUUGAGGGUGGUGGUGUUAGUGGCAGCAAAAAUUCUGAAGCAAUCUUAUUACUAAUUCCAUUAAUAGUUCAAACUGGACACUUUUUUAGAAGGACCACUUUUUAAUAACUAUUGUCUAGCGGAUAGAGCUAUAUUAAACUAUUAGAGAAGGCUGUGUUCUAGUUGGGGGGGGAGGCUGUGAUCACUUUAGAAUAUUUGCAUCCCAUUAUAAAUGUAAUUUAUUUCAUAUUGAGUAGGAAGACCUAGCCAGUUUUCAUUGAUGAUAGGUAGGAAGAUAGAUGAAAAACUAUGCUGGUGGAGGUUGUAAAUUCUAUGAUAGCAUAAGAAUUUCAGGAGUUGAUGACAUUAAAAUUUCCAGGGAGGAAAUGUUGGAUCCCUGGCAUUCAGUAGGUCUUGGAAAUUGUGGCAGGAGGCAGAGUUAAGCGUCCAAUAAGACUUCAGUAGUAAAGGAAAAUUUCCCCUGGUGUUUGUAAACGUUUUUGUGAGUCUGGGGGCAAAAUGCUAUUCUAUUUGAUGAACUGAUAAUCAAUUUCUAGCCCAAAAUGGGUUGAGCAUAGGAGUAGAUAUAAAAUCACAACAAACAAGUGGGACAGGCUAAGGCAAGUGUGGGGGCAAGGGAACAUGACAGAGUAGUUUUUCAGGUGCUUUAGAAGGAUCCCUGGAGUUCCCGUCAUGGUGCAGUGGAAAUGGAUCCAACUGGGAACCGUGAGGUUGUGAGUUGGAUCCCUGGCCUUGCUUGGUGAGUUAAGGAUCCAGUGUUGCUCUAAGCUGUGGUAUAGGUCACAGACACAGCUCAGAGCCCACGUUGCUGUGGCUCUGGUGUAGGCCAGCAGCUGUGGCUCCAAUUAGACCCCUAGCUGGGAACCUCCAUAUGCCGUGGGUGCGGCCCUAAAAAGACGAAGGACACACCCCCCCCCCAAAAAAAAGAAGAAGAAGGAUUCCUAAUGUUCUUGAGGUCAGCAGGACCAUUCUUUCUCAUGAAAGGGAAUUAAUUCUGAUCUUGAUUCAAGCAAACAAAAAACCCACAAAUGUACUUCCAUUUGGGCCAGUAGCAAUUGAUAAUUAAUCUCAAGUUUCCUUACAAGGGAAAAGUCUUGUGGUCUAGGGUCUAGAGGCAAAUUUCUGGGCCCCAAAUAUUCUCAUAUGUAAGGGUAAAUGUAGGAAGUGAAGUCUUCAAAUAUUUUGUAUUAAUGACUUGUGGGGCUGGUGGAGGGUCAAGGUAGAAGAGAAUCGAAAAUGGGACACUACCUACCCUAUGUGACUUAGUGAUUUUUCAGCAAAAACAAGAGGAGCUGAGGCAAGCGAGUUGGGGACUCUGCUAACAUGUUUUUAUUAUCUUUGUACCAAUAAAUUUGGGCCAGCAUUUUUAUUUGUAUAAUAGCAGUCAUUUCUCAAGAAUGAAUAAAGGCUCUCCUCACAAAAUAUCAAUCCAUUAAGGUCACUGCUGAGAUUUUAGCCCCUGGAGUUUCCCAUAAAAGACAUUUCCCUAAGAUUAUUUACUUAAAUGAUGCAUCCACCUUUAAAGUAGACAACUUGAAGGGAUUGUAAUUAUAUUUAUAUGUAUAUGUAUACCUUACAUGUUGCAGUAUGAAAGCAGUUAUGAAAUUAGAAAAUAAAAUCAUCUUAAAGGGGAAAAUAAUAUAUUGAUCAUACCAUUUGAUUUUUAUGCUGGUAUGAAACCUAGAAGAAAUCAUGAUAUUCACUUUAUGAGUUUUGGGAAACCAUCCCCCACCCCCUGCUCCACAGACACACACACACACACAUACACACACACACACACACCCCCUUGUUCUUCAUAUUGUCACAAGUCGUGGAGCAUCUCAAUUUCUAAUACACAGAAGAAUAAGGAUCAAAUGUGUGAGUCAUAUUAUAAGACAUGAUAUGAAACAUGGUCUAACUUUCCUGGGUGAAGGAAUAUAAAUUGGAGAAUUUACGUGUUCACCUCAAGCCCAAAUGGCAGAGGCAAUUUUUUUUCAUUGAGUUGUAUGUGGCUACAAACACAGGCACAGUUAAAAUCAUAAAAGAAAUCCAUUUUUGCAGUUCUGAAAUUCCCAUCAGUGACUGUAGCAUACCUUGAAGAGCUGUUGAAUCUAUUAAGAUGAUGGUUAUUUUAUUCACAAGUGUACGUAUUAUAUAAAAUAUGUGUUAUGCAUAUAUAUGUACUAUUUAAUCAAGAUAUAUACAAAAGAAAUACAUGCUUGCUGAGUCAAAAAAUAAAUGCAUAGUCAGGAACUAGAGGAAGCAUAUUUCAUAAAUAGGCCAAGUGAAAACUGGACACAUCUUUCUGGGAGAAUAAUAUGACCAGUGGUUUUGGAAACCAUUCUUCUGCACUCCCUUCCUUCCUUCCCUCCUGCUUUCCUAUCUACAUCCCAUUUUCUACACCAGUCCAGGUUUUUCUGCCUUCCCCUUUUCUUUUCUGACCAUUGAGGCUUAUUUUGUUUUUAUUUGUUAUAAGACAGUCUGAUUUGUUAUAAGGGGUAACUGUAGGAUUAUUGUUUUAGCAAGGGGACUCCAAAUCUUGUUUUUACUUGUCUGUAACAAUUUGGUGUUCUUAACUGUAUCAUCACAUACCUGCACCCGGAGAUAGGAUGAUGCUAGUGACCUGAAACGGAACCUCUGAGAUUCUGGAAACUGCUGGGCUCUCUCUUUUUCUUUUGAUAUGUAUAUCUCUCCAAACUAUUUAAGGAGAGAUCUGUAUUUUUGUUUUCCAAAAAAAAGCAAAUUAAAAUCUAAUGGUUCACCAUGGUGAGCUUGAGAGGAACACUCACGAAGGGGCUUUAAUUUUAACAUUAGCAAAGUUGAUUAAAAUAAAAAAGAAUCAGAUCUUUCCUUUCAUAUGUUAGUAUGUUUUUCUAGAAGUUUGCUCAAUAGGCUACUUUAUGGUUUACUGAAGAUACAAUGACCCUAAUGUGAUAGAGAGUAAUUCAAGCUUGAGUCCCAAGAAUACCAUUAAUUGAACUUUCUCAAAUUCAGGGGAGAGGCUAAAGUUAAUGAGGGUGAGUUUAACUUAUAAAAAUAUUUUAGGUAUUGGAGUUCUCUUAUGGCACAGCUGGUACUGUCACUGCUGCAUCUCGUGUUGGAUCCCUGGCCCGGGAAAUUCCAUAUGUCACUGGUGUUGCCGAAAAUGAAUGAAGGAACAAAACUUUUAGGUAUUAUAUUUAAUGAGAACUAAAAGUAAAGUAGUUUAAUUGUUUUUGGUUUUGCUGUCUUAAUUUUUUUCUUUAAUAUGAAAUCAUAGUUGGUGUUGAGUCCAGAGUGAUAGUUUCUAAAGCUGGGGGGGGGAAUGCCUUUAAUAAAUAUUGAGUUCCCGUCAUGGCGCAUUGUAAACGAAUCCGACUAGGAACCAUGAGGUUGCAGGUUUGAUCCCUGCCCUCGCUCAGUGGGUUGAGGAUCCAGCGUUGCCAUGAGCUGUGGUGUAGGUCACAGAUGUGGCUCGGAUCUGGUGUUGCUGUGGCUCUGGUGUAGGCCGAUGGCUACAGCUCCGAUUAGACCCCUAGCCUGGGAACCUCCAUAUGGCUCGGGUGCGGCCCUAAAAGGACAGAAGAGACCAAAAAAUAAAAAAGAAUAGUCCAGUAGCAUAUCCAAUUAUUGAAAAUAAUAUGUAAGUAUUGUGAAGGACAAAUGCAGUGUGCUGUAAAUGAAAGGUCUAACUUAGCCUAGAUAAUGUCCUUGAUAUUUUCCUAACAUAUAUAUAUUUUUAAUCUUUUCAUUGAGAUCAAAAUGAUGAGUGGUUAGCUGGAAAAAAAGAGAAUGACAGAAUGGUUUGGCCAGAGGGAAUAGUAUGUGUGAUGGUCUAAGGCAGGGAACAGUAUUGCACACUGGCAGAAAUGAAGGAAGGCCAGGGUGAAAAAAAAAGGAUAGGACAAUGUUAGAAGAUAAAGCUGGAGAGUAAAGUGUGGACCCAAUAAUGAUGGACUUUGUUCAUGUUAAAAGUGGGAAGGCCAUUGAAAGAUUAUAAAAAAAGAAAGACAUUUCGAUUUGUAUUAGUAAGUGAUUGAUUUUCCUAUACCUUGAAGAAUGAUUUGCAGGACAAGAAAAGAAGUGGGACCACUUAGUAGGCUGCUGCAUUACUUCAAGAACAUAUGAUGAUAGAUUGGUUUAGGAUCCUGGCAGAGAAGAUGCUGAGAUAUACAAAGUCUGAGGCCUAUUCAGGAGAUAAAAUCAAUAGAGCAUCAGGCUUCACUGAGAUGGGGUUUGAGAGAGAAAGGAGAGUCCUGAAGAAUUCU